rnacentral:rRNA from 1 species
AUUGAACGCUGGCGGCAUGCCUUACACAUGCAAGUCGAACGGCAGCACGGGAGCAAUCCUGGUGGCGAGUGGCGAACGGGUGAGUAAUAUAUCGGAACGUGCCCAGUCGUGGGGGAUAACGUAGCGAAAGCUACGCUAAUACCGCAUACGAUCUAUGGAUGAAAGCGGGGGAUCGCAAGACCUCGCGCGAUUGGAGCGGCCGAUAUCAGAUUAGGUAGUUGGUGAGGUAAAGGCUCACCAAGCCGACGAUCUGUAGCUGGUCUGAGAGGACGACCAGCCACACUGGGACUGAGACCCGGCCCAGACUCCUACGGGAGGCAGCAGUGGGGAAUUUUGGACAAUGGGCGCAAGCCUGAUCCAGCAAUGCCGCGUGCAGGAUGAAGGCC